GUCACUGGCUUGGAGCUCAGCUGACACAGUCAGCUGAGACGUCUCAGUCUUUCUCCACGUGGGCCUCAUCAUGUGGCUGCUCCGGCUUCCUCACAGCAUGGGGGCUGGGUUUCAACAAGGAGUGCUCCAAGAGAACUAGUCCCACAGACGAGUUUACCAAGAAUCCAUUGCAUCAUGCUUGCUAAUGUCCCAGUUGCCAAAGCCAAUCACAUAGCUAAGUCCACUGUCAACAUGAGAGGGAACUAUGCAAGGACAUCACACUGAGGGUUGUGGUUCAUUGGGGAAAACAAAGUAACAGUCUACUAUGGGGGGAUGUUAGAUCAUUUUGAGUAUCAUAAUAAGAGGCUUUGAAAUUCUGAGGAAGAGACUUUUAAAUCUAAGAAAAUAAUGAAAUGCAAACAAAGCAAUAUCUUGAAAAGAGAAGUACCUGGGGUCAAAUACAAUGGAAUCUCUGCAAAUAUAAUGACUGGCACCCACACCUGACACUUUCCUUUCCAUAGACUAAAUGCAUGAGGCAGCAACUGGAGUCAGCAAAGCAGAAUCCACAUUGGAAGUGAGUUAUCUAAUCCAGUAUUUAAAAAAAUAGUAGCAGAACUCUUAUUUCAAAUUGAUUCUUAUAAUAAAAACAAAACAGAAACAGGUAAGGCAGGGUACUCAUGGUUAUUUUAUUUAAAUUGACAUGUUUUGGGUACCCCCUAUUUUCAUGUAUUUUUGGCAACUUUAAUAAAAAAUAAAUAAUAAAAUAAAAUUUAAAAUUCACUUUGUAAAAUAAGACGCACAAGAGAAAAAUUGCUUGGAGUAAAGGUUUGAAGUUUUGCCCGCUCCAUUCUCUCUCACAACUCUCUGUCGCUGACAGCCCUGAUACCUCUGAGGAACGCAGCGCAGCCAGAGAUCAUAGUUUAAAGACUGUAGACUAGUUUGACUAGAAGAUGCCUAGGGGACAUCAAUAUACAUAUUUCGAUAUUUAAAACACUUAGUAAAAUCAAUACUCUGUGAUGGAUGCCGUCACACAAGAGUUGACCACGUUAAUGGGGCUGAUUCAGUAAAAGAUUCCUUGAGCUGGUCUAAUAAUAUACGCCAUAACUGAGGUCUCAAACUGUACUGUAUUAGUUUGCUGGGGCUGCUUGUAAGCCACAAACGGGGUGCCUUAAAACAACAGAAAUUUAUUCUCUCACGAUCUGGAGUCUAGAUUCCAAGAUCAAGGUGUGGGCAGGCUUGGUUCCUUCUGGGGGCUCUGAGAGAGAAGGCCUUCCACGGCCUCUCUCCUUGUUUCUGGUGUUUGCCAACAAGUCUUGGCAUUCCUUGGCUCGUAGAGGCAUCACCCCGCUCUCUGCCUCUGUUGUCGCAGUGUAUAUUCUCCCUGUGUGUCUGUCUCUCUCCUUAUAAGGACACCAAUCAUAUUGGAUUUAGGGCCCACCCUAAUCCAACAGGACCUCAUCUUAACUUGAUUAUCUGCAAAGACCCUAAUGGCAAAAAGAGUCCCAGUCACAAGUCCCAGUCACAUGUCCGAGGUGGACGUGAAGUUUGGGAGGACACUAUGGCCCAGAAGGCAUGUCUGUAACUGGGGGCGGUGGUGAGUGGCGUUCACUCAGGGCGGCUCCCUCUUUCACUUCACAUAUCAGGCCAACACUGGUCACUGAGAACUUCAAGGGCCUGCUCAUCAC
ensembl:lncRNA